rnacentral:misc_RNA from 1 species
GAUGAAGAACGUAGCGAAAUGCGAUAAGUAAUGCGAAUUGCAGAAUUUCCGUGAGUCACCGAAUCUUUGAACGCACAUUGCGCCCACUGGUAUUCCGGUGGGCAUGCCUGUUCGAGCGUCAUUAUCCUCCCUCAAACCUCGGGUUUGGUGUUGGACCCAAGUUGUGUGAACAACUGGUCUUAAAGACAAUGACGGCGUCCGUGGGACCCUCGGUGCAACGAGCUUUUAGGAGCACGCGUCGAGUUUCAAGGACCUUCCGGGCCGGUCUCCUUUACCAUUUUACAAGGUUGACCUCGGAUCAGGUAGGAAUACCCGCUGAACUUAAGCAUAUCAAUAAGCGGAGGA